ACCACAAAAUCUUUUUUCUCCUCACAAAAAUGUCAUUACUUAUUUAUGUUGGUUUUCAGGCAUGUUGGAUUAAAUUUUUCAUGUUCCAACAUCAAUAUCCCACUCUUAGUGACA